ACAAUGGUGGCUACCAGUGGUAGAUUUGAAAAUGAGAGGAGUAGCAAAGAACAAAAAGAACAGACCAGGAUUGCCAGGGCCGAGGAGUUGCGCCAGGCUAAAGCCAAUUUUGAAAAGGAAGAAAGGUGUAAAGAACUUAAACGACUUUGGGGUGAGGAUACAUGGAUGCUACCUGAUGUGAAUGAGCCAAUUGAACAGUUCUCACAGGAACACUCUCUGAAGAAAAAGAAGAAAAAAGAUAAACACUCAAAAAAAGUAAAGAAAGAGAAGAAAAAAAAGAGUAGGAAACAGAAGUAUGAAAAAAGCAAUGAGUCAACAGAUAGUUCAUCAAGCUCUGAAGACGAGUGGGUUGAGGCUGUCCCAUUGCAGAUUCCUGGCAGAGAAAAGGCCUGGAAAGUGAAAGGUGAAAAUUCAGAAAGAGAAGACAACUCAGUUAUUCAGAGAGAUGAGUGGAUGAUGGUUGAUUUUAUGUCUGUUAAAACUGUGUCCUUAUCAUCACUCAAAGCUGACAAGGAGGCUAUGAGGAAAAUAGAGCAAGAGAAAACCCAAGCCCUGGAACAGUCCAGACUGCUGGAGAGAGAAUUGAAUCCAUACUGGAAAGAUGGUGGGACAGGUCUUCCACCAGAAGACUGUAACGUGUCAUCACUUACCAAAGUUUCAGUAGUAGAAGAUGGUGGCUUAAGCUGGUUGAGGAAGUCUUACCAAAGAAUGAAGGAACAAGCUGAGAAACAGAAUAGAAAUUUUGAAGACAUUGUGACUGAAAGAUACAGGUCAUUGGAAGUAUUUCAGUCAAAAUUAGAAGAAGCUGAAAAAACUGCAUCCACAAAAGAAGAUUAUAAAUGAGAACGGUGGAGGAAACCAGCAUACUCAGAUAAAGCACAAAGUAGUCAAGAAAGUAGAAAAUCAGACUUGGUAAAAUAUAAUAAAAAUUUAAGGGAUAGAUACAGUUCAACAGAUACUACAAACACCACCAAUAAAGAUAAGUCUAGUGGUGAUGAAAAAAAUAAUAGGUUUGGGUCUUUAGAAACCUGUAGAAGACAAUCCAAUCCAAGGCAAAAUCAAGACUUUUCUUCUCUUGGAAAUUUGAAACCUAAAUUUUUAAGACCCUCUGAUGAUGAAGAACUGUCAUUUCAUAGCAAGGGCAGAAAUUUUGAACCUUCUAGUUCAUCUUCAGCAUUGGUUGCUCAGGAUUCUGUGCGUUAUGGUUUUCGAAAACCCACAGAAAACAGUGAAGAAAGUUCUUCAUCGUGGAACCGAUCCAACGGAAGAGAAGGAGACAGGAAAUGUUCAUAUCGAAGAUCAUUAGAAACUAGGGGCGAUGUGGACUCUGGGCACAUUUCAGAAGACGUGAGAGAAAAAUCACAAGAUGAAAGCCUGAGAGAUGACUCUCUGAAGAAAGAGCAUCUACAGGACACAAAGUCUGCAUUUGCCGGAGGUGGUCCUGAGGAUGAUUCCAUCCACAUCCUGAGUGUUGAUGAGAAGAAUAAAUUGGGAGCCAGGAUUAUCAAGGCAGAGAUGAUGGGAAAUAUGGAAUUAGCAGAAUGACUUAAAGCUCAACUUGAAAAGGCAAAUAAAUUCAAAGGAACAGAUAUCCUCAAAAGAAUCUGGGGUAGGGAAUGAAGACCAAGAAGCAAUCCUCGUCAGAACAGAUCAGUCUGGAAGAGUGUGGCCUGUGCAUACACCAGGAAAAUCUCUGGAAUGUAAAGGAGGAAGAAGGAAGAGACAGAUGGUGUGUUUAACAGAGGCUUCAACCCAUGAAGAAAAAGAAAGGGUUAGAUACUUUCAUGAUGAUGAUAAUCUCAGCCUAAAUGAUUUAGUCAAGAAUGAAAAGAUGGGAACAGCAGAAAAUCAAAACAAACUUUUUAUGAGGAUGGCAUCUAAGUUUAUGGGAAAAACAGAUGGAGACUAUUACACUCUCGAUGACCUGUUUGUCUCCAAAGCAGCUGAGAAAGAACGUUCUGGUGAAGAGGAAGAGAACCAGAGGAGGAAAGCAAUUGCCGAGCACCAGAGUCUGGCUGCACAAAUGGAAAGAUGUCUGUAUUGUUUGGACAGCUCUCAGUUUCCCAAGCACCUCAUUGUUGCCAUAGGUGUUAAGGUUUAUUUAUGUUUACCCAACUUCCGAUCUCUCACCGAGGGGCACUGCCUGAUAGUCCCUUUGCAGCACCACAGAGCGGCCACCUUACUGGAUGAAGACAUCUGGGAGGAAAUUCAGAUGUUCCAAAAAUCAUUGGUAAAGAUGUUUGAAGAUAAAGGACUGGACUGCAUCUUUUUAGAAACACACAUGGGCAUGAAGAAGCAUUGUCAUAUGGUUUAUGAGUGCAUCCCUCUCCCAAAGGAAGUGGGUGAGAUAGCUCCCAUCUAUUUUAAGAAAGCCAUAAUGGAAUCUGAUGAAGAAUGGUCCAUGAACAAGAAAUUGAUUGAUCUCUCUUCAAAAGAUAUCAGAAAAUCUGUACCCAGAGGCUUACCUUACUUCGCUGUGGAUUUUGACCUCCAAGGAGGGUUUGCCCAUGUCAUUGAAUAUCAACACAAAUUCCCUCAUUACUUUGGAAAGGAAAUCAUUGGUGGGAUGCUGGAUAUAGAACCAAGACUCUGGAGGAAAGGGAUCCGGGAAAGCUUUGAGGAUCAGAGGAAGAAAGCCUUGCAGUUUGCUCAGUGGUGGAAACCAUUCGACUUCACCAAAAGUAAAAAAUGUUGAGUCAUACGUUUCAUUUUUUAAAUUUCUUCUUCAGAUUCCUUUCAGUUUUACUUCCAUUGUGUCUGACUAGACCACUGACCCUCAGGCCAGAGGGAGAGAAAGUCCCACUCUGGGUCUCAGACACCCGGGCAUCACUGGA